rnacentral:rRNA from 1 species
UGGGGAAUAUUGGCACAAUGGGCGAAAGGCCUGAAUGCAGCAACGCCGCAGUGCAGUGAUGAAGGCCUUCGGGAUUGCUGAAAUGCAUCUGUCUUUUGGGACGAUAAUGACGGUACCAAAGGAGGAAGCCACGGCUAACUACGUGCCAGCAGCCGCGGUAAUACGUAGGUGGCAAGCGUUGUCCGGAUUUACGGGCGUAAAGGAUGCGUAGGCGGAUUUUUAAGUGAGAUGUGAAAACCCUAAGCUUAACUUGGGGACUGCAUUUCAUACUGGAAAUCUAGAGUGCGGGAGAGGAGAAUGGAAUUCCUAGUGUAGCGGUGAAAUGCGUAGAGAUUAGGAAGAACACCAGUGGCGAAGGCGAUUCUCUGGACCGUAACUGACGCUGAGGCAUGAAAGCGUGGGUAGCAAACAGGAUUAGAUACCCUGGUAGUCCACGCCGUAAACGAUGAGUACUAGGUGUAGGAGGUAUCGACCCCUUCUGUGCCGCAGUUAACACAAUAAGUACUCCGCCUGGGAAGUACGAUCGCAAGAUUAAAACUUAAAUGAAUUGAC